UCGGCUUCUCGCCUUUUGGCUAAGAUCAAGAUGUAGUUAGUAUCUGUUCUUAUCAGUUUAAUAUUCUGAUACGUCCCCUAUCUGGGGACCAUAUAUUAAAUGGAUAUUUUUUGGGACAGGGAGAUGGAAGAAGAGCUUGCUCUGUCCACUCCACGCAUCGGACCUGGUAUUGCAGACCUCCAGGACCGGUGCACCUUCU
ensembl:snRNA U2 U2 spliceosomal RNA